rnacentral:snRNA from 1 species
GUUCUCUCCGGAGACACGUAUAUUAAAAUUGGAACGAUACAGAGAAGAUUAGCAUGGCCCCUGCGCAAGG